GACGUAGGGCGCGAGCGUGUCCGGAUUUAUUGGGCGUAAAGAGCUCGUAGGCGGCUUGUCGCGUCGACUGUGAAAUCCCGCGGCUCAACUGCGGGUCUGCAGUCGAUACGGGCAGGCUAGAGUUCGGUAGGGGAGACUGGAAUUCCUGGUGUAGCGGUGAAAUGCGCAGAUAUCAGGAGGAACACCGGUGGCGAAGGCGGGUCUCUGGGCAGUAACUGACGCUGAGGAGCGAAAGCGUGGGGAGCGAACAGG
rnacentral:rRNA from 1 species